UAUGACUUUGAUAGCUUUCAA
rnacentral:piRNA from 1 species